UGUUCCAGGGCAGAGACUGGACUGUCUUAUCAUGAAGAUGGACUGAGAACAGAUCAAUCUAUCACGAAUUCAUAACCAUGAACCAACAGGAGCUCACUGAGACAUUUUGCAUCUCCCGGAGCCCUGACACGGAUGAGACGCGGAUCAGAUGGGCUUUGAUCAGAGCUCUAAAUCAAAGGGAGGGCUUUGGUGCGAGAAUCUGUCACAGGUCUGUUCACGACGCUCAAAACCUCCCUUUGAAAUAUGACCUGAAGUUUCAUCAUCGCGGUUGAUUUAAGGCGAAGCUUCGUAAAUAACAGGACAUAAUGUGGUCACUGUCUCCUGAGGAUGUGCCUCACUGUAGGGAAUACAUUAGAAGAGCAUUCACUGAAGCCACCGCAGGUAACAAAGGCAGGUGUCAUUCUGAUCAGGAAAAGGUAACGGGACAUUUAGAGAAUUAAAGUCACACUGAUCUUGUCCUAGACAUCUCACAAAGGCCUGGCAGGCUCUUUAUGUCUUUUUUCUUUUCUUUUAUUAGAACGGCCUCUGAAGGUCAUCUCAAGCAUUAGAGAAGCACUGCGCUGUUCCACGUGUCUUUGGGGGCUUUGGGACCGGAGGAAUAAAACAUCUCAUCUGGAGCCUUUGAAGCGCUUUGCAGCUGGGACAGCUCCUCUAAGUCCGAGUCAAUUCAACAUGCCAUA